CUCUCGGUGGCCAAGCUGGCUAAGGCGCGAGACUGUAAUGGAUUUUGUAAUCUUGAGAUCGGGUGUUCGACUCACCCCCGGGAGA
rnacentral:tRNA from 1 species